GGGUCUCGAUCGCGCGGGCCUCCCUGGAGGGGCGCGGGCUCUGGCGGCGGGGAGGCCCCUGCUCAGCGCAAUGGCGGGCUUGCAUCCUUGGGUGAUUUUUUCGGGCCCCUUGUGGCCUUUGCUCACGCCUAGAGAGCAAACCACCCGCACCACCCAGGAGCAGAUAAAAUCGAGACCACAGCCUCCAAGGGAGCGCGCCUCCAUCCUGUUUGCCCCUCGGGUCGCCGUCUGAGGGCGGGCCCGUGCCCGCUCAGAGCCUACAUCCGAGUCGUAUAAAGCGCUGACAGCAGAGAAAGCUGCGGCUUUGCUCCGUGCAGAUGAGCAGGGGCUGAGGGAGGACGCUGUGCUCUCAGUAGCCGCGCUUGGCCCGGGGACCCUGCAGGCUUAGAAACGUGAGUCACGCCUGCAGCGUGGCGAGGAAACGCCGUUGAUGUGGCAUCCUCAGCCUGGGGUUGUGGCUUUAAGCCAGAAGGUCAAAAAAAGAAGUCUUCCUGAGCUGAGACUGCCCUGAGUCGCUUUAGGGGCGAAAUUCCGAGCAUCCGGUUGCAUUUCCUGAGGAUGACACGCGUGGUGGGUGUGGACGGCCUACAGGGGUCCAUCCUCAGCGGCCCCUCUGCAGGGCAGUCUCGCUCUCACUCUCCCAGCUGACUCCUCUCAAGCCUGUUAACCAUUGUACACGUUCCCAAGGACUCCAAGCAGGUUGGACUUCAGGGAACAUUGCAGUUUGGGUCUUGGCCAUUGUUUACACUCCACCUUGCAUAAGUGCUUGAGGAUCACACAACCAGAUACGUAGAUCAUCCGUAGAUCAUCGCAGUCACAUCGAAGAUUUGUUUAUAAUAGGAAAAAAAAAAGCUACCCACUGUCAUGCGCUGGGAAACUAGUGAGCUGAAGGAUGACCCAUCUGUAAAUGGGGUGCUCCCUAAUGGACAGGGCACCUUUCAGAAGCCUGUGCUGUGUCUCCUCGACCCCACUGUGAGCUCCCCGUCCCGCACGCUGAUCUAAAUCAAGCUGCUAACCUCAUGGAGAGGCGUCCGCACGGGAGCCCCGGCCCUGAGAUGCGGGGCAGUCACCCAUUCAAUUAGGAAACACCAGCAAGUGCCAGAAGCUUCUCAUUAGCAGGGAGUGUGGGUGUGGCAGCAACCCAGCAUCUACCAUGCCGACCAUGUGCCAUGCCAUGCACCGCGUGUCGUAACAGGACAACAGAGCAAGAGACCCAGCAGACAGGGGUCCCCAGCAACCUCAUGAAGCGCCAUCCACUCACCUCCAGACAGUCUGGGGAGAGAGACUGAAACUUCUGUCUAAGCCACUUCAUCUUUGAUCUCCUUGUUUUUGUGGUUCAGGUUGUAUCUUAAUAAAUAAAACGUGUUUGAGUUCAUGUUUACAUCCAACCAUUAAAAAAGUAUAUUUUGCCAUGAGAUAAACAAUGAGACCCUGCACGAGAUGAAAUAUUUCCAUGGUCACUCGUCAUCUCCUUACAGAGAAUUACUAAGAUUUUAUUAAAACAGUGUAGAUUAUGAGAGUAUGGUGACUCUAAAGUGAAGUUUACAUUCAGAUGACCCCCAGGCCCGCGUAUGGAGCUCCGGUUCUGUAGCUGAAGAUGGGACAGAGGUGCAGGGAGAGCUGCAGUCGCGUUCUCGGAGGCAUGGCCCCGUGUUGAUCGGACACGUCAUGUUCAGUCAGUGCCAUGCAGGUGUGCAGCGGACGGUCUGGCUGAGGCCGGGGGUGCCACGGUCCCCCCGUCUGCUGAGUAGUAGCAAAGCUGAAUAUUUUCCUGGAAACAUUUUGUGCGCCCCUGGGGUGUGCUGCUGGGGACAAUGGGAAGUCUUUGGAACUCAGGAGCAGCGCACGCUUGGUAUUUGUGCUGGAAGAUGACCAGCCACAGACUGGAGAUCAGGAUGGCCCGAGACCAGGGCCACUGCUGACCCUGGGCAGGGAGGACACAGUGUGGCAGAGGCCUGCAUUGGUGGGAUGGGAGGAGGCCUUGCUGGAGAGCUCAGAGGUGGAAUAUGGUGGUCUCAUGUGGCUUCUCUUACCACAGACCCCAAGACAAAGGUGCCCACUGGUGGGAGGCUAUGACCAUUGUGCUGAGUCGCACGACCUGGAGCAUCUCUGAGAGAGCAGAACUCACCGUCCCCACUGCAUAGCUCUUCAGGCCCAGGGCUUUCGAGGAAGAAACAGGUGAUCAUCUUCCACCUGGCAGCUCCCAGGAGACGGGUGGGGUCAGUGGACCCUGUUCGCAGAACUAAAGGCGGGAAGACCGUGGCUUCCAUUCACCUCCUCAGAAGUGAGCCAAGGGCCCUGGGCUGGCGACAAGGACUCUAAGGAGCUUGCGGGACCGUGCGGUGUUCGUGACGACAAGGACUCUAAGAAGCUUGCAGGACCGUGCGGUGUUCGUGACGACAAGGACUCUAAGAAGCUUGCAGGACUGUGCGGUGUUCGUGACGACAAGGACUCUAAGAAGCUUGCAGGACUGUGCGGUGUUCGUGACUUCCCCUUGCCUGUUGUUUUUAAAAUCUUUUGUUAGUUUCUCUGUAGUUAUUGGCAGAAAAAUCUUUAUUCGUGCCCCUGUUCAAGAUUAGCAAGAAAGAGGAAAUGUGGAAAAGCCACAUCCUGUUUUGCAGCCAGGCUUGUGUGUGGUGGAGGGACAGGGGACAGGACCCUACGGGAUGGGAUGAAGAGGGAUAAAGACGGCCUGGGAUGGAGACGGUGGGAAGGCGCCUGUGAUUCCUUAGAGCAGCACAGGCGGUGCAGAGGCUCCAGCUGGGGUCUGGAGGAUGAGGCUGCCAUCAAGCUCCACCAUGGGCCCUGGGGAGGGGUAGGCAGGGCAGGGGGACAGCCAGAGGAUGGGGAAGAGGAAUGGGUGUACCAUAGACCUACGGUGACAUGGAACAGGCACUAGUAGGAAGGCAGCCGGGUGUUUGGGGGCCCGGGCCACAGCAGAUUUCAACAAUAACAUGGACAAAACAUGGAAAGAGCAAAGAAGACAGUGCAGGUGGCCCACAAGCACAUGGAAAGGCACUUAGCUUCACCAGUCAGCAGGGAAAUGCGAAUCAAAACCACAGUGGGUCGUCACUUCACACCCUUUAGGAUGGGUAUUGUAAAAACAAAAACCAGAAAAGAACACGCACUGAUGAGGGCGUAGAGAGAUUGGAACCCUUGUGUGCUGUUGGUGAGAAUGUGAAAUGAUGCAGCUGCUCCAGAAAACAGCACGGCGGUGUAUUAGUCAGGGUUCUCCAGAGGGACAGAACUAAUGGAAUAGAUACAUAUAUAUGAAGGGGAGUUUAUUAAGUAUUAACUCACACAAUCACAGGGUCCCACAAUAGGCCGUCUGCAGGCUGAGGAGCAAGGAGAGCCAGUCCCAGUUCCAAAACAGAAGAACUUGGAGUCUGAUGUUCAAGAGCAGGAAGCAUCCAGCACGGGAGAAAGAUGUAGUCUGGGAGGCUAAGCCAGUGUCUGUUUUCACAUUUUUCUGCCUGCUUUAUAUUCUAGCCGCCGUGGCAGCUGAUUAGAUGGAGCCCAUCCGGAUUGAGGGUGGAUCUGCCUUUCCCAGCACACUGACUCAAAUGUUCAUCUCCUUUGGCAACACCCUCAGAGACACACCCAGGAUCAAUACUUUGUAUCCCUCAAUCCAAUCCAGUUGACACUCAGUAUCAACCAUCACAGGGGGUUUCUGAAAAGAAAUAAAAGAAAGAAAAGAACUACCAUGUGAGCCAGCAAGUCUACUUCUGGGUGUUUGCACACAGAAACUGAGUGCAGGGCCUUGAAGAGAUACGGGUACCCCCGUGCCCCUCACAGCAACAUUCACAAGAGCCAAGGGUGGAGAUAACCCAAAGUCCACUGAUGGGUGAAUGGGCGAGUGAGCAAGAUGGGGCCUUUCCGUACCAUAGAAUAUCAC
rnacentral:lncRNA from 1 species